rnacentral:rRNA from 1 species
UCGAACGAGUUCUCGUUGAUGAUCGGUGCUUGCACCGAGAUUCAACAUGGAACGAGUGGCGGACGGGUGAGUAACACGUGGGUAACCUGCCCUUAAGUGGGGGAUAACAUUUGGAAACAGAUGCUAAUACCGCAUAGAUCCAAGAACCGCAUGGUUCUUGGCUGAAAGAUGGCGUAAGCUAUCGCUUUUGGAUGGACCCGCGGCGUAUUAGCUAGUUGGUGAGGUAAUGGCUCACCAAGGCGAUGAUACGUAGCCGAACUGAGAGGUUGAUCGGCCACAUUGGGACUGAGACACGGCCCAAACUCCUACGGGAGGCAGCAGUAGGGAAUCUUCCACAAUGGACGCAAGUCUGAUGGAGCAACGCCGCGUGAGUGAAGAAGGCUUUCGGGUCGUAAAACUCUGUUGUUGGAGAAGAAUGGUCGGCAGAGUAACUGUUGUCGGCGUGACGGUAUCCAACCAGAAAGCCACGGCUAACUACGUGCCAGCAGCCGCGGUAAUACGUAGGUGGCAAGCGUUAUCCGGAUUUAUUGGGCGUAAAGCGAGCGCAGGCGGUUUUUUAAGUCUGAUGUGAAAGCCCUCGGCUUAACCGAGGAAGCGCAUCGGAAACUGGGAAACUUGAGUGCAGAAGAGGACAGUGGAACUCCAUGUGUAGCGGUGAAAUGCGUAGAUAUAUGGAAGAACACCAGUGGCGAAGGCGGCUGUCUGGUCUGUAACUGACGCUGAGGCUCGAAAGCAUGGGUAGCGAACAGGAUUAGAUACCCUGGUAGUCCAUGCCGUAUACGAUGAAUGCUAGGUGUU